rnacentral:lncRNA from 1 species
UAGAGUUUUUAUUAAUUUAUAACUUUUCUCAAUAAUUAAAACUAACAAUCUCUUUGAUGAACAAUCAUAUCAGGAUAUUUUAUUUUUAAAUCAAAAAGUCAUACAGAGAAAGGGGAAAUCACUAUUAAGCCAUGGUUAGUGUUAUAAUAUUAAUCCAGAUAAGAGGAAAGUGAACAGCGCUAGAGGGUUGGCUGUGACUAUCAAGGGAAAUAGGUUUGUAGAAAUUUUAAAUUUCAUGUUCUGAAAUUUCAUUUGUUAAUGGUAUAGAGAAAUAAAAUAGAUUCUGCAAGGGUAUGGGUGCAUUUUACCCAUUAGUCUUGCUGAAUUAUCUUAUCAAUUUUUAUUUUAUUCAUUGAUUCUUUAAUUUUUCCCUGUUACUUACAAAUAAAGACAGUUUUAUUUCUAUUUGAAAUUCCUAACUUUUAUUAAUUUUGCAUUCUUAAUGCCCUCGUAAAGACUUCUGGUAGAAUAUUUUUAAAAAGUGAGGUGACUGGCAUCCUUGUCUUAGUCCUGAUCCUGCAGGUGUUUCAGACCCAACUGUGUCACACAGUGGACAUUUAUUCCAUGGUUUUGUGUUCCUGGUUAUGUAUUUCUGUUUCAGUUUAACUUUCUUAGCAACGUUCUACCGUUUUCCUUUAAAGGAUCCUGGAUGUCAUAUUGCUAAACUCAUUCCUAUGUAUCUUACAGUACUUAUUUGUUUGUGCAUGGUAAAAUUUUGUUAUGUACUUCUGACUCUUCACUACUGUGAUAUAGAAAUGCUACUGAUUAUUUUCUGUGUUGACAUUCUAUUAAACAAAUGUGGUGAAUUUUGGUAUUAUGCUUAUUUA